UACGUAGGUGGCAAGCGUUGUCCGGAAUUAUUGGGCGUAAAGCGCGCGCAGGCGGUUUGUUAAGUCAGAUGUGAAAUCCCCGGGCUCAACCUGGGAACUGCAUCCGAUACUGGCAAGCUUGAGUCUCGUAGAGGGGGGUAGAAUUCCAGGUGUAGCGGUGAAAUGCGCAGAGAUAUGGAGGAACACCAGUGGCGAAGGCGACUUUCUGGUCUGUAACUGACGCUGAUGUGCGAAAGCGUGGGGAUCAAACAGG
rnacentral:rRNA from 1 species